GGGGAAGCCGCACUCCCUGAUCAGGGCAGAUCAGGAGGAUUCCAAGUGUAAUUGGCCUCCAGGGAGUAUGUAAGUCACUCUUGUACACCCCCUCAGACCUCCUUAAUGCCUUGCCAGCUGGAAGGAAAAGAGCCUCUUGCAUUGCCCACAAAGGAAGCAGAGAUUGAGGGGAGAAGAACUGGAGAAAUUAAAAAAGUGGAAAGAGACAGCAACACAAAUAAAGAGGUUGAGUACCAGUAGAAACCUCAUAUUUACCUGGAAGAUUACUUUUAGGAAGCUUGAAGAAUUCUCUCUUCCAACUUGGUUGGAUGGAUCUCACUAUGUUGCCAAGGCUGGCUCGAGAACUCCUGGGCUCAACCAAUCCUCCUGCCUCAGCCUCCCAAAUAGCUGGGACUACAGGUGUGUGCCGCCACUCUCCCCUUUUUAUUGGAAGAGAGUUCAUAGAGGACUGAGCACCUAUUUAGUAUAUGUUUCUAGGUUUGGUUACAAUUUGUUAAGAAAAGUAGAUUUGCAAACUCACUACUUUUGAAAUAUUAAAAAUACAUGCCAUGAAUUUCUACUUCAGCACAGAUUUGGACAACCACCUUAUGUAUGGAAAGAAAAUUUACUGAAUUUAGUGCUAGGCAUAGAUGAGAAUUUCUACUUGAAAAAAGCCCUUAAAACUUUUCCUGCUGUACUGUUCAAUUAUUAAUAUAUUUAAUGCACAGACGCAGUUCACAAUGUGGACUGAUGUGAACUUGUGUUGCAUUGGCUUUAUAAAUUAGGACAGUUGAUUUUACUUAUCCUCCUGAUUUGCCCAGAUAUGAUCUCUAUAAAAAAUCACAGAAAUUUUUGUAAAAUAAUCUUGCAGUUCUUGUUUUUGCUCUUUUUCUUAUUUUUUUCUCAACAAAAAAUUAUUUCUGAUGUUCUAUUUUCACUUAAAUGAAAACAUUCCAUGGAAGAAGUACAAAGAAGUAAUGCUUUGAAAUGACAGUCCCUGAAUUUUCAAGAAAGCCAGAUUCUUCCACAUCCAUAGUCUUCCUUUGUCCUGUUAAUAAUCCUCAUGAUGAGAGGAAAGUUACUGCCUAGUGUUUUAUGACUGGGAGAAUGGAGUAACAAGAAUCUAAGUGGUCAGAAGUAGAGAUUGUCAAGAAUACAGGCUCUCAGGUUUUGGUGUCUGUGCUCCAUCAGCCAAACUUUGCCCUUUUCUAGAAAAGACCCAAGUGGUGAAGUCACUAAUUUUGUCAUUGUUAUUAUGUACUGGAGAAAAAUUAAAUGAUCCACCUCUUUAUCAUAUACUGAACUUUCAUGAUAAGUAACACAUGUGGAGUAACCAAGGCUUAGCCAACUAGGGAUUAAUGUUAGAAAAUGAAUUUUGCUUUCUCUAUACUUGUUUAGAAAUAGCAAAAGUUCUGUAAGGGGAUGGCUAGGGGCCAAUGGGAGAGGUGAAGGACCUUUAUCACAGUAUUUGUUUGGUCCCCAUCAAAGUUCCUGGGUGCCAUGGAAAAGUGUUUUUCUUUUCUGGACCCUUUACUUCAUCUGCAAAAUGGUGAGGCAGUUAAACUCUCUGGCUUGCUUUUAUCUUACAGGCAUUCAGUGAGGUAUAUAACCUGCAAUAUUUCUUAAAAGUUGUAUAGGUUUUGCUGACCUGAAUUCUUUCAUGUUCUUCUUCAUCCUACAUGUGUAACUAUUCCAUGUUAUCGGUCCCCACGAUGAAAGAUAAUGGAAAAACAAUGCCUGUCUUUGUCUGACUCAAAAAGCAUGCUGAAUGGACUUUUCAUCCAUGUGGCUGUGAUCAGUUCCUAAAGCAGAGGAAUCUGCAGCCUAAUGACACAUCAGGAAUUGAUGGAACCCCAGCAGACAGCUUCUAUGAGGAGAUUAGGACUCUCAGAAGAGACACCAGAGGCGUGGCCACACAGAGAAAAAGAUCAUGUGGGGACACAGUGAAAAGGCAGCCAUCAUAAGCCACAGAGAGAGGACUCAGAAGAAACCAACUCUGCUGACACCUUCAUCUUGAACUUCUAGCCUCUAGAACUGUGAAAAAACAAAUUUCUGUUGUUAAGACACCCGGUCUGUGGUAUUUUGUUAAGACAGCCCUAGCAAACUAACACAAUUUUGUACACUAAAUAAAGUCCAAUUCAAUUUUAAUUUUAUAGAAACUGAAACAAAUAAUUUAAAGAUUUACUUAGUAAAUUACUUCAGAUUGGGAUCAAAUGUGUACAUGAAUUAUGAAAAUGUAAGAAAUGGAUAUUUAAAUAAGUAUACCAGAACAUAAAAAUUCCAGUGCCUGGUUUUUUUUUUUUUUUUGAAAGCCACUUAUCCCAACAAUAAAACUGAUGCUCAAAAUA
rnacentral:lncRNA from 1 species